AUUGAACGCUGGCGGCGUGCCUAACACAUGCAAGUCGAGCGGUAACAGGUGUAGCAAUACAUGCUGACGAGCGGCGAACGGGUGAGUAAUGCUUCGGAAUCUGCCCAUGUAGUGGGGAAUAACCAGCCGAAAGGUUGGCUAAUACCGCAUACGACCCUUGCCCACAAGGCAAAGGUGAAAGCAGGGGAUCGCAAGACCUUGCGCUAUUGGAUGAGCCGAAGUCGGAUUAGCUAGUUGGUAGGGUAACGGCCUACCAAGGCGACGAUCCGUAGCUGGUCUGAGAGGACGACCAGCCACACUGGGACUGAGACACGGCCCAGACUCCUACGGGAGGCAGCAGUGGGGAAUAUUGGACAAUGGGGCAACCCUGAUCCAGCGACGCCGCGUGUGUGAAGAAGGCCUGCGGGUUGUAAAGCACUUUUAGUGGGG
rnacentral:rRNA from 1 species